rnacentral:rRNA from 1 species
CGGACCGGACCCCCCGCGGGACCGGACCCGGCGCCCGCCGGAGGAUAACCAAACUCUAUUGUAACGACGUUUCUUCUGAGUGGCAUAAGCAAAAUAAUCAAAACUUUUAACAACGGAUCUCUUGGUUCUGGCAUCGAUGAAGAACGCAGCGAAAUGCGAUAAGUAAUGUGAAUUGCAGAAUUCAGUGAAUCAUCGAAUCUUUGAACGCACAUUGCGCCCGCCAGCAUUCUGGCGGGCAUGCCUGUUCGAGCGUCAUUUCAACCCUCAAGCUCUGCUUGGUGUUGGGGCUCUACGGUCGACGUAGGCCCUCAA